UCUUUGUUGAUGUCAGUUGUUUGUUCAUAUAAUGAUGAUGGGCCCCAUUGUUAUAUGAGCCCACCUAAAGGUGGUCAGCUGAUACUCACAGGAGAUCAACUCUGCACUAAACAUUCUUUGAGUGAUGAUAUAACUGGGGUAUUGAAGUGACCCUUUUCGUUCGCUUGAAGUUACCAUAAGAGUGCAUUGUAAAUUGUAAUCCAUCGAAAUGGCGAUUCUUGUUGUCAGCAGAUACUUUAUUGGAUGAUGCUGGUUACUUUGUGUAUGGAAUGGUAAGAAGUAUCGAACAGACAUCACAUAACGGCAUAUGUACGUACGAACAUUGACAUUGAAAGUGAUUGGACUAUAUCCUACCAAGAUGGAAAACAAGCGAGUGGAAAAACACGAUCCAUAUCUUGUGGUUUGUAAGUUGAGUAGUCAGAGGACAUAAGUGUUAAAAUUAACCUGUAUGAGUAACUGCAUGAGAUAGUUAAAAAAGGAUCCUGAUGGUCUAUUUUUAUAAUUUGAGCCUUAACCACGAAAAAACCCAGAUAAAAAAAGUCAAUAAAAGAUGGCCCUUGCUUUGAGAAAAUAGCUGGCUUUCACUCGCCACUUUUACUAAUUUUAUUUAACGUUUAUAAAAAAAUUGCAAUGCGUUUGUAAGAUAAAAAUUUUACAAUAACUUUCUACGACAUACACGUAAAAACUGCGCGGUGAAAAAAAAAGGAAGAGACCGACUAAGUCACCUUGAUCAGACAGACCAGAACAAUGUUUGGAAAUCAGAGUAGCUAUGUCUGUAGACCUACUAACUGGACAAUGAAUGAACGACCAAGUCGGACAGAAGCGCCAAGAAACAAGCGUCUUUAUUGAAAGAUUCACACUUGCGACUGUUGUUAUGCUUAAUGUUUUUCAGUUGCUAUAACGCAUUUUCAAAUUCAACGUUAAAAAUUUUCGUAAAAAUAAUUUUUCACAAUUGCUAAAUUUUCUGACAAGCAAAACACACGAGUGAAAGCCAGCUAUUAAUGGAAGGUCUAAAUGAAGCAACCUAUAAAUUCUGAAUCAAACGAAAUUUAGUAGACAUCAAAAAUUGUUUUUAUGCAGGUCACUAUGUCACUUUGAUCAAUUCAUUUUUCAUUUUUAUUGAUAGGGAAUAGUCAGGUCAUAUGUACCGAAUAAUUUUUUCACAUGAUUUAUUCAUUGCCUGCAUGCCUAAACUAUUCAUGUUUUAUUUUUUGUCUUUUAAAGUUUUUUAACACUCUACGGUCUUUCAUUCUUUCGCUACCAAAGUUUGUGUUUCUUUUUAUUUGCACACAAAAUAUUUGCUUUCUCAAUAGGGUGGUCGCUUUAUAAAUUUAAAUUUUUAUACGACUGUGUAAGACGCACGAGCCUGACUACGAUGCGUGUUAAAGUAGAUCAUCGGGAUCAUUGAAAAUAACAAAAA